AAAUACAUUAAUACUUUAUUUGUUUUUAGAGCUUACAUAUAAAGCUUAUAGGUCAUGUCGAUCUUAAAACUAAAAUCAUUUACUAAAAGCCAAGACAUAGAGUAAUUACUAUGUUUUAAAACAUUUUAUUAUUAUUUUUUUUUAUUAGGUUGGUGGGUUAAAUAUGAUCAUUUAACUGAGAAAAUGUAUACUAGUGCAACUUGUAAUCUGGGUGUUAUAACAUCACAACCACAUCUAUGGUCAACUCUAAGAUCACCUUAUUUUGUUUGGCAGUGUUUUGGAAUCAAGUUAUGGCAAUAUUUUGUGUAUAAAAUCUAACAAUUACAUUUAAAAAGUGCUUAUUUCUGACAAAAACUUGUAUUUUCUUAAGGGUUAGAUGGUGUUUCAUUACCCCCUCUGGCUCCCAAGAUACACCCUACAUCCAGGCACCAAAAUGAACUUGUAGCCCAUUAGUGCACCUAUCUUGUGAUACCAAGAUAUAG